GGGAAAAGUAUGAUGCAAAGGGUUGGACAGAGAAAGGGGCACACAAAUAUGGCAGAUUAAACGAACAAUCGUGGUGGGAGAAAUGGGGAGAACAUUAUGAUGGAAGAGGAUCUGUUCUUAAAUGGACAGAUAAGUGGGCGGAAACUGAGCUUGGAGAAAUGGGGAGAACAUUAUGAUGGAAGAGGAUCUGUUCUUAAAUGGACAGAUAAGUGGGCGGAAACUGAGCUUGGAACAAAAUGGGGAGACAAGUGGGAAGAGAAAUUUUUCGCUGGAAUUGGUUCGCGGCAAGGAGAGACUUGGC
rnacentral:misc_RNA from 1 species